GUUGUUUUGGUCUCUGCAUGUCUGCAGUUUCUCUCUCUCUCCAUAGAGACGAAACCAGCCAGAAUUGUUUUUGUCUCAGCGCGUCUUGAGUUCUGUGGUCGUUGAUCGGUUUAUUCCAUAGAGACGAAACAGGCCAGAAUUGCCCCCAAAAAUGACCUCAGCAUAUAUAGAUGGUGAUAACGAAUUUCUAAAUAUUAAUGGUGGUGAUGAUGAUGGUGAUAACGAUAGCCGAAAGGGCGACGAACCCAAACCACCACAGACGAGGAGGGCUCCACUCCGGGAACAACCGACUCCGAUCCUCGACGGCGAACUCGAACUUGAACAACCUCCGACUCCGAUCCUCGACGAUCUCAAGCAGAAGAUGGAACAUAUGCUUCGAAAUUUAUGCAGUGGACAAUAUGGGCCUUUGCUACUUCAAUUUUGGACACUCA